rnacentral:tRNA from 1 species
CAGGGGGUAUUUUAUGUAAAAUGUUAAUUUUGGGGAUUAAUGAAAUGGUAUUACCUUUCCUCUGA